rnacentral:lncRNA from 11 species
GGGAGGGAGAAGAUCCUCCAACACCGCUUCCCACACCUCUUGUACACAGUCUGCCUCCUGCCCAGAUUUAUAGCUGUUUCUAGGCAGCAAGGACUGAACUUUUUACAGAUUUAACGUCCGACAAUGUUGUUACU